rnacentral:lncRNA from 1 species
UGAAGUAGCACUCACGCGAGCUCCGUUAGCUGGACUUGGAGACAAAGGCUGACUUAGUUGGGGCUGGGUGGGGAUAUUAACUCUACCAAUGCCCCUCGGUGGAGCAUCAGCAACAGAUGAGGUUGGUUUACGGGAAGGCAAGGUUGUUGCAUCUUCUUCCUUGGCCGCCACUGGAGACAAACUUCCCAUGCUUUCUGUGGAAGUCUGAACAGGAAUGGAAGUUGAUAAAGCAACUGGUGCAUUUGGAACACUACUGACGGGCGCAUUAAAACUUGGACGUUCCCCAAGGGGUGUUGAUGGUGCUGAGUGAAGGGCCCCAUUCUUUUGGGGAGGGGUUUUUGGAAGUGUGUCAGAAUUGCUAUCCGGUAAAGUUGUAUCGUCAGUCUUCUCUUGAGAACUACUCUGAUGGUGUGUUGGCAGACUUAUGCUCUGAAACAAAGUCAAAAAUAAAGAAACAUAAACAAAAAGUUCUUCAAACAAAAGGAUAUAGCAAUACUUACCCGAACUUGAGAUGCUGACGCUGCCACAGAACUCUUCAUGCUCAGAGGAGUACCCUGAAAAAAUUUAAGUCGUGUUACUGCUAAUAUAACGCCAAAUGUACUGAAUUUAUCCCUUUCAAAAAGAUUCCUGAAUUUGUGACGGAUACAGCAUUUCAUGUUUCCACAGAGAGAGAAAGCAAAUAGAAAAUUUGAAAGAAAAAGUUACCUUGACGAGGGGGCCAGCAGUAACUAGAUCUUCAAGACCCUCCACCUCAUCUAGUGGCAACGUGCUAUAGAGCUCAUCAACAUCACUGAAUUCGUCAAAAUCAUCCUACAUAAUCCAGGAGAAUAUUAGCCUACUGAUAAAAUUGGAAACCCACAGUAAAUCAUAUGAACAAACGUCUAAGCAAAAUAUUCCAGGUUAUAGAUGACGCAGACCUGAUUUCGUUCAACAUAAUCAUCCAGAAAAUCUUUGACGUCAUUUACUUGUUCUGGACUUAAUUCAUCAUUGUCCAGAAGCCUUAAUAUCAAUUCCAACUUUAUUAUGUGAUCCUUGUGUCUUGUGAUAGAUGUCUCAAGAUGUGUCUGAAAAAGAAAACAAACAAUUUGACAAAAUGUACCACAAGGAAGGAACUAUAUCAUUAGCAUACCGAUGAAAAUUUUACAGAGCUUACCAAUCUGGGCGGCCUUGACUUCCCUUUUUUGACAGAUAGUCCUUCCAACUCAGCUUCAAAGCUAUCAAUCUGCGACUCGAGUUCGCUCACCUAUCAAAAGCAGGAGAAUGAGUAGUAAAUCAGCUACAGAAAUUAUUUACGAUGAUCCGGAAGGACCUCUCCACCUAGUUUCCCUGGCACAUCAACCUUAUUAGCCUAGGGGUUUGAUAAAAACCACUAACAUAAAUUUGCUUUGACGUUUCUGUUAAGGGGUUCAAGAAUCAGCAAUUAAGCAUGGAGUCGCCAGUAACUUACCACAUUGUUCAACCAAUCUCUUGUCUCUGACUUUGCUUUCUCUUUUGGGUCCUAUUAGACAUGAAGCCGAAACAAUCAGUAGCCUGACUACCAAAAAGAGGUUUAAGUAAUAUUGUAAAUCCACCCAAAGUAGUUCCAUCAGAUUUCAUAGUAACUCAGUGACGUUGUUAGAAGAAAAAAUUGUUAAUAUCUACAGGCACUUAAAUAUCACAUUCAUUUUAUAUGAAGGAAACAAAACGCUUUGGAGAAAAUCUUACAGUUUUAGGUUGCUGACCCAGUCCUUCCUUAGAGAAUGCUUUUGUCUUGGUCUCUUUCUCACAUAUUUUAAACCUCUCCAUUUCUCGCUCAAUGAGCUUCCGAGCGUCAACCAGGGAUUGCUCAUAUGAUGCACUGACCUAUAUCAUAUGACAGACAAUCUGCUCAGUUGAGUCAAGAACUACCGGGUUAUAAGAUUCCUUCAAUAUAGAACAACAUGUCAGGUAUGUAAAAGUGAGUAAUAGAGAAAAAGAUACUCCUUUCAGCUAUAUGAAACUAUCUAGAGGGUAACUAAGAGUAUGACAGACAAAACCAACCCACUACCAAAGCACCCUACCCAAAAAGAAUGAAAGUCGGAGUUUUCCUUUAAUGGCUAGGAAAGAAGCUUUAGUUAUGCGAUGAUAAGAUGAUGAUCUGAUUGAAAUCAUCACAAUGUAACUUUAUAGCAGAGAGAAAACUAAACCACAGAGACAGAAUAUGGUUCGGAAGUGCAGUCUAAGAGAAUGCAAGAGACCUCAUUAAUCUUUUUUUUUUAAAAAAACAUCGAAGAAGAAGAAGAAGAGCACUGACUUUUUUAUCUUUGAUCUCACUAGACUGAAUCCAAGUCUUGAUCUGGUCCCUAUACCGCUGCAGCUUCUUGAUCUCCUUCUUCAAGUCAGCCUCAAACUUUUCCUUUUGGUUAACAUUAUCCGUAUCAUAUACCUGAAACACACCAAAAAAGAGCCCGGGUUGGUUGGUUUGUCCUCUGUCCAAGUAAUAAAACUUUAUUCUGCGUGUCGAAAACAAACACUCUGCUCACAUUCCACUGCAUAAAACAACAAACAUGGAGCUCCCAUUUUGAGUUCCAAUGACCAAAACACUUUACUCACAAACAAACAAAAAUUAAUGUUUCAAUUCGCGUCAAAAUCAUUCCUUUGCUUUAAAAUCACCUCACACACUCACUGCUUCAGUAAACUCAAUUCUAAUAUCAAUGUUGAUGAAUAAGAAUACUAUAGAUCGUCCUGCAUUAUCCAUAUCAUUCGAAUUCAAAUAUAAAACGAUAUGAGGUGAUCGAGGCCCAAGGGGAAGGCUCUACCUUGUUCCAGAUGCUGUCGAAGACAUCGACACCUUCUUGAACCUUCUUCAGCACCCGAUCUAUCUCGCCUUGUAGCUUUCGACUCGCUCCCAUUACAGCUCAGCCAGAGAAGGAAUUAGGGUUUCUUCUGAUUUGAUUGGUGUGAAUAGGAUUAGGGUUUUCGCUUUCUGAGAAAAGGGGAGGAAGAAGGCGAUGAUGAUUGUGUAACACUAUCGAUGAAUUGAUUGGAUGUAAAGGAUGAUGUAAUAAUAAGAAAGAGUUGAAGUAUACGUGUUAGAUAUUGACGGCCCAAUCUAUAAGUUUUUAGUGGGCUUUUUUAUUAUCAUAUUUACCCCUCUUAUUUUUAUUUCUUUCUGAAUGACACCCUCAGUUUUUGUUCUUUUCAAUUAUUCACUAGAGAACUCAAGUUUUCCCCAAAUGUGAAGAAGUCUAGCCAUGUUUCUUGAAUAAAUUACUGAUCAUUUAGAAAAAAUAGAAAUUAGUUUUAAUUUAGUGAUGACUUAGAACAUCUUUAACGCAAGGUUCUUCCCCAAAAUUUUCAUCCUUUAAAAAAUAAAAUUAAUUAUAAAAUAGGAGAAAGAGUAAAGAUAAGUUUUUGUUUUACACUUUUUUAGAUAUUUUGAAUAACGGAUUUUACGACUCUCUUGAAAAUUAAAGUGUUAAUGUUCAGAAAAAAACUGAAAAUGGACAUACAAAUAAAAUAGUAAUAAUUCUAUUUUUUUUUUAAACUAUUACAGUACAUAUCUGUUAAAGGUGCUCUUACGAUGUACUCAAAUACUCACAAAUUUUGUUUCAUGGGGUGUUUAAUGACUUUCAAAAAAAAAUAUGAACAAAACAAAGCAAAAGUUUAACAACAGCCCAUACAUACAAGAUACAACAGCAUAUUUAAUGCAAAGUUUUGUAUAUCUUUUUCAUGUGAAUUCAAUUUACAGAAUUGUAAUGCUUAGGCGGGCCAACAAAAUUAUUGUGGGUAAAAUCAAAAUUCUACAAAACUUUCAGGGACGCAAAAAUUAUGGUGGACUUCGUCUUGUCCAAAAACAGAGGAAGAAGCAAAACAGAGAGCAGAAACCCUUCACGACCCGAAAGCAGCUUCUUGGACUCUUCUUCUUCUUCCUACUAAGAAAAAAUGGUGGAUUCAAACCAUGAGACCGAGAUCAGAUGCCACCAUUGCGCAGGCUCACUUACGAAAAAUUUGGUAUUUUACGCAUCCAGCAUCAAUCUGUAUUACACAGAUCUAUACUGAAGAUGAUUAAUGAUUCUGAUUGAUUUCAGGAAACGAGUGAAUGGACUGUGUCUCCGUUCAUCAGGGACAGCUUUUCUAUGGUAAGUUUUGUUUGAUGAUCAAGUUCCGACUCUUUUAGUCUAACUAUAGCUUUGCUGCAAUUGUCAACAAGUUUGGUCCUUUGACGUUGAGAACUCAAACUUUCCUUUCUGGCAUGAUCUACAUCUGCAAAAACAUCAAGAACAUGUCUCUUACUUUUUCGUCUGCAUUUUCAAGAUAUUGAAACCAAAAACUGAGCUCCAACAACUCUAGGGGGGUUUAAUUAACUGCCAAUAGAUUAGAAAAGACAAUCUCUUAUUAUGAUGCAAUACUUUGGGUAUCAUAAAUCAUGUGAUUGUACCACAAAAUUUAAAAUAAUCGCGCUCAAGACCUGGCAAGUACACAACCUAUAAAAAAAACGCUACCUGCUGUAAAAGCGGAUUUUGCUGUUGUGAAGAAAACUGCUUCUCGUUUCUUUCGGAUAGAGAAGCCAUGCCUAAGAGGUUACCAUGGCCUUGUCGUACUUGCUGGUACCGCUGUAAGAAUUUCUCCCUUUGAUCUGGUGAUAUUUCAGUUCUUCCACGGACCAAGAAGUGAAACCACAAACCAUAACAUUGUUCAGACUACCCACUUAUAUAGUGCAAAGGUCCUACAGAACCUAUAAAAAAAACGCUACCUGCAGUAAAAGCGGAUUUUGCUGUUGUGAAGAAAACUGCUUCUCGUUUCUUUCGGAUAGUACUUGCUGGUACCGCUGUAAGAAUUUCUCCCUUUGAUCUGGUGAUAUUUCAGUUCUUCCACGGACCUAGAAGUGAAACCACAAACCAUAACAUUAUUCAGACUACCAACUUAUAUAGUGCAAAGGUCCUACAGAUCCUUGGUAUUAUAGUCGAAUUCAAAACACGCACCGUUUCAUUCUGACUCUGAAAGGGACUCCCAGGCCUCCACUGCAAACCAGAUACAAUAGACGGUGAAUAAGCUCUACCGAUGCUUGCCGCAACAUCACCAGGGUUACCAUCAGAGAUAGUUCCAUCAUUACCCUUCGCAGCUGGUGGUAGUACCAUUUUGCUGAGCGGAGAGGUUAGAGGUUGGACAUUGCUCUCAACUCCCAUUAUUUUUCUCUUUGCAAUUUCAGCUGCUGAAGAAGUCGCACCAGUGCCGUUAGCUGCACUUGGAGACAAAGGCUGACUCAGUUGAGGCUGGGUGGGGAAAUUAACUCUACCAAUGCCCCUCGGUGGAGCAUCAGCAACAGAUGAGGUUGGUUUACGGGAAGGCAAGGUUGUUGCAUCUUCUUCCUUGGCCGCCACUGUAGACAAACUUCCCAUCCUUUCUGUGGAAGUCUGAACAGGAACGGAAGUUGAUAAAGCAACUGGUGCAUUAGGAACACUACUGACAGGCACAU